AUAAAGGUAAGAGGCAGAGAAAGGAGAGAAGGAAGAGAGAGAGACGGGAAAAAAAAUAAAAAAUAAAUAAUAAUUUUCCAUCUUUCCUCUUUCUUUCUCAUCUCCUCUCAGUGUCAUCUCUUCUUG